ensembl:antisense Gm26756 predicted gene, 26756
GUCUGCGCCGUGGCCGCCGCCGCCGCCGCUGCCUGUCGCCGAGCCUGGCAUCUCCGAGCCCCCGCGCGGGGGGCUGCCGCCCAGCGCUGAUUGACAGCCCGCCUCGCCAAUGCCUGGAGGGAGAAAGGAGGUGUCUUUGUGGGCACCGAGGGAUAUAAUGGUGAGACGUACCAGGGUCCAUUGAGGGAAUAAGGAGAAGAUAAUAAAUUAGUUGCCAACUUGCAAAUUUUUGAGAGCCGCAACUACUGAGAAAGGAUUUGUCUGACAGCAGAGAGAGUUUUCAAAUCAGCAGCUGUGUGAUCCUUUUAAAAUAGAAUUGUGCUUCUCUUGGGUGGGUGUGGUGAUAUAUGCCUAUGAUCCCAGCAUUUGGGAGGCAGAAGCAGGCAGACCUCUGUUAGUUCAAGGCCAAGCUAGUGUACAUCAUGAUAUCUGGGACAGUCAUAGGGCUACAUAGUAACACCCUGUAGAGACCGUGUCUUAAAACAAAACAAGACAAAACAAAAACAACCACACACACACACACACACACACACAAUCAGCUUCCAGUCUCCCCUUCAUUGUCUUUCCCCUCUGUGGUUACACUUUGCCUCUUAGAGCACAUUCCUCUCUCCACUGCAGCCUCACUGGUCUUUUUGAGCAGGUCAAAGGUAUUUUAGCUGGCAUGUUUUUCCCUGGAGUGUAUACACAGUUCUUUUCCAUAUCUCUUGUACGUUUUCCUGUGGUAUCCCUGUUUCAGUGAGGCCUUCACUAAGCUCCCUGCUUACAACUGUAACCCUGGCCCUUUCUUGUCACACACACACACACACACACACACACACACACACACACACCUCCCUUCCUAUCUAGCACUGUCACUGUCUGUCAUACUAUGAAGUGCCAUUGUGGUGAGAUUAUAACUCCCUCACAGGAAGGGAGGUCUGCUGAGUCAGCAGGUAGACUAGUGCCUAGCACAUGACAGAGCCCCAGUGAACCUGCUGGGUGAGGAAUGGCUUGAAGAGCUGUGGAAGCAGCUGGAGGAAGUGCUAACAUUACCUAGACGGAGAGGGGAGAGGCAGCAGUCAUGCUAGAGGGACGAGAGAACACUUCAGUAUUUCAGUGUUUCAGGAAGCGCAUAUCCUAUUGCAGCCAGCUCCGAGCAGAGGAAAGGUUCAACCUUCGUUCUCUCUUCCAAAUGAAGUCUGUAAUAGUUUUCUUUUCUUUCUGUAAAGGAGGCUCUGUUGAGCCUGUUUGGAAAAGUGAUGUCCUUUUAAAGAAUAUAUAAAGGCAGUCAUUUU